rnacentral:rRNA from 1 species
UGAGUGUGGCCGAUCUCAUCUGAUCUUGGAAGCUAAGCA